rnacentral:rRNA from 1 species
GACGAACCGUGCGAACGUUAUUCGGAAUCACUGGGCUUAAAGCGCGUGUAGGCGGGACGGCACGUCGGUCGCUGAAAGCCCCCGGCUCAACCGGGGAAGGGGCGCCGAUACGACCGUCCUGGAGGGACGUAGGGGGACCUGGAACUUCCGGUGGAGCGGUGAAAUGCGUUGAGAUCGGAAGGAACGCCCGUGGCGAAAGCGAGGUCCUGGACCGGCAUUGACGCUGAGGCGCGAAAGCCAGGGGAGCAAACGGG